CCUACGGGUGGCAGCAGUCGAGAAUCAUUCACAAUGGGGGAAACCCUGAUGGAGCGACGCCGCGUGGGGGAAUGAAGGUCUGCGGAUUGUAAACCCCUGUCAUGUGGGCGCAAAUUAAAAAGAUAGUACCACAAGAGGAAGAGACGGCUAACUCUGUGCCAGCAGCCGCGGUAAUACAGAGGUCUCAAGCGUUGUUCGGAAUCACUGGGCGUAAGGCGUGCGUAGGCUGUUUCGUAAGUCGUGUGUGAAAGGCGCGGGCUCAACCCGCGGACGGCACAUGAUACUGCGAGACUAGAGUAAUGGAGGGGGAACCGGAAUUCUCGGUGUAGCAGUGAAAUGCGUAGAUAUCGAGAGGAACACUCGUGGCGAAGGCGGGUUCCUGGACAUUAACUGACGCUGAGGCACGAAGGCCAGGGGAGCGAAAGGGAUUAGAUACCCCUGUAGUC
rnacentral:rRNA from 1 species